GUCUUCAGUGCAGGGUGUCAGCCAGGAUGGAUCUGCGCUGCAUCCCUCUGUCCAGGGCCCGCCCCAGGAGCGCCCAGGGUGUGUGCAUCUGCAGACAGACAGGACACCGGGACCCCCAGAGAGAGUCUCCCAAGGUACCUCUUGGCCCAGUGUUCCUGGCCAGAGAAAGACUUGGCAACUGGAGGACGUGGGCCAACCCCUGACCAGAUGGGGACAGGAAGGCUGAAUAACUUGCCUGAAGUCGUGGUGGGUUGGUGGCAGUUCCAGGCUAGAAAGCAGAUCUGAGAAAAUAACCCAACCCUUCACCACCCUGAAACGCCUUUUCUGCUGCCUGCGGUGUGGAGGAUGUAGUCCAGGGCAUACAGAAUAAAAGACUGACUCAGGCAGCCCAAGCUUCCACAAACUACUUAGAAAGGAAUGAAAGUGAUCCUUAAAACUCGACAGUUGGAAAGACAUUCCCUGUGGGGAAGAGGCACUAGCUAGGGAAUCAAAAGACCGGAGAUUCAAUCUUGGCUCUGUUGCUCACAAGCAAUGCGACCUUGGGUAGGUCAAACAGUUUCUAUGGUUUCGGUUUCUUCUGGAAAUUGGCAGAGGGGCAGUUACAGUAAAUCAGAGGCUCUCUACGUUCAGGGUGCAUUAGAAUCACGUGGGGCGGAGGCAGUGAGGGAUGGUGGGGAGAGGGUUGUUAAAAUACAGAUUAAUGUUCCCUAAACCUGGAGCUUCUAAUUCAAUAAAAUUUGCAUUUCCAACAAUUUUCCAGAGACUGCUGCUGCUGCUCCUGGGACUCCACUUUGAGAAACACCACAUUAGAUCCUCUCUAAAUCCUUGCUGCUCAAUAUGUUGUGCCCAGAGCAGCAGCAUCUGGAAGCUUGUUAGAAACAUAAAAUCUUGGGGCCUACCCAGUCCUACUAAAUUUGAAUCUGCAUAAAAAUAAGAUUCCUAGGUGAUUCUUUUGCAUAUUAAAAUUUGAGAAGCAUGGCUCUAAAUUCACUUUAUGAUUUUAUAGAAAAGAUAAAUAUUCUGUCUCUUCUUCUUUCCACACACACAUGCACCCACCCACCCACCCACCCACCUAUAUAUAGACACAGAGAAAAAUCUAUCUCGUCUUAAUUUGCAAGGCAGAUUGUGGUUUUCCUAAUGCUUUCAAACUCUGCAUACAUAUAUGUGUAUGUAACCACUUAAUAGAGAAUAUAGCUUGAUGUAUGAGUUCUUAUGCAAAGGAUCAGAGGAGCAGGAUUAGGUUCUUAGCAAUCAAAGAAAUCUUGGUGGCCUGGUCUAGCAUCUACAAAUGGAAAACUCAAAGUUGGAUGGAGGAAGGGACUAUACGCAGUAGAGUCUUAUUUCAGUCCUUAUAAUAUGCAAAGUUGCCAACGCCCGAAGGCUUUCAGAAGGACACCCUGGACUUUCUAUUGUGUAUUUUUGGAGGUAAAAUAUGAAUAACUUUAGGUUGUGGGCAUAACAGAAAUAACCUAAACCAGCAAUUAAAGGCACAAUACCACCAUAGACUUGGGUGGGCUAGAGGCAGAUUCCUGGUUAUCUGCUUGGGGUGGAAGCCAUUAAAAAAAAAUAGCAUCCAAGGUAAAACUAUAAUGUUUCCAGUUUUCAAGACAAACUUACUCCUACACUCUUGUUAUAGAUUGUUGUUUAGGUUAUUCAAAUUUAGAAUGGUAAGAUUUUAUGAUGGCAGUUUAUGAAGAGCCUGUACAAUUUUACACACACACACACACACACACACACACACACACACACACUGUCUCUCUCUCUCUCUCUCUCUCUGUUAAAUAAAUUAUGUGAUCCUC